rnacentral:lncRNA from 1 species
ACAACCCAAUCUGCUAAUCUCCAAUACCACUUUGUACUUACGAUCUUGAAUCCACUGACAGUCUUGUUAGAUUAACCCAAUAAAUUUCAUUCACUCCACAUACUCAAUCCUAUAGACACCCUUUUUAUCCUUCAAUCACAGACGUAACUCGAUGUCACAAAACAGUCAGGAGUGAUCACACCCACUUCAUUAAAAAUCUCGAUUCACCAUUACAACACUGACUUCAGCAACGAUUGCCUCUGUCUUCCUCAAACUCUAUGAAGAAGAAAAAUCCAAUUCUUUGUCUUUUCUUCCCCGACCCCGAAGCAUGAAGCUCCUCUCUAAUU